rnacentral:rRNA from 1 species
CCUACGGGAGGCAGCAGUGAGGAAUAUUGGUCAAUGGACGAGAGUCUGAACCAGCCAAGUAGCGUGAAGGAUGACUGCUCUAUGGGUUGUACACUUCUUUUAUAUGGGACUAAAAGGGUCCACGUGUGGGAUUUUGUAUGUACCAUAUGAAUAAGGAUCGGCUAACUCCGUGCCAGCAGCCGUGGUAAUAUGGAGGAACCGAACGUUAUCCGGAUUUGUUGGGUUUAAAGGGAGCGUAGGUGGAUUGUUAAGUCAGUUGUGAAAGUUUGCGGCUCAACCGUAAAAUUGCAGUUGAAACUGGCAGUCGUGAGUACAGUAGAGGUGGGCGGAAUUCGUGGUGUAGCGGUGAAAUGCUUAGAUAUCACGAAGAACUCCGAUUGCGAAGGCAGUUCACUGGACUGCAACUGACACUGAGGCUCGAAAGUGUGGGUAUCAAACAGGAUUAGAUACCCCGGUAGUC